UACGGGGGGGGCAAGCGUUGUUCGGAAUUACUGGGCGUAAAGGGCGCGUAGGCGGCCUCUCUUGUCGCGUGUGAAAGCCCCGGGCUCAACCUGGGAACGGCGCGCGAGACGGGGGGGCUGGAGUUCGGGAGAGGAGCGUGGAAUUCCCAGUGUAGAGGUGAAAUGCGUAGAUAUCGGAAGGAACACCAGUGGCGAAAGCGGCUUCCUGGUCCAGCACCGACGUUCAGGCACGAAAGCGUGGGGAGCAAACAGG
rnacentral:rRNA from 1 species